ACGUAGGGUGCGAGCGUUAAUCGGAAUUACUGGGCGUAAAGCGUGCGCAGGCGGUUCGUUGUGUCGGCGGUGAAAGCCCGGGGCUCAACCCCGGGUCGGCCGUGCGAACUGUCGAGCUGGAGCACUGUAGAGGCAGGUGGAAUUCCGGGUGUAGCGGUGGAAUGCGUAGAGAUCCGGAAGAACACCGGUGGCGAAGGCGGCCUGCUGGGCAGUGGCUGACGCUGAGGCGCGACAGCGUGGGGAGCAAACAGGA
rnacentral:rRNA from 1 species